rnacentral:rRNA from 1 species
AGCAGCCGCGGUAAUUCCAGCUCCAAUAGCGUAUAUUAAAGUUGUUGCAGUUAAAAAGCUCGUAGUCGAACUUCGGGAUCAAUUGAUAUGGUCAUGCCUUGGUAUGUACUGUUCAUAUUGGUUCUCACCUUCUAAUGAACCAUAAUGUCAUUUAUUUGAUGUUAUGGGGAAUUAGGACUGUUACCUUGAAAAAAUUAGAGUGUUUAAAGCAGGCUCACGCUUGAAUACAUUAGCAUGGAAUAAUGAAAUAGGACAUCGCAUUCUAUUUUGUUGGUUUCUAGGAUCGAUGUAAUGAUUAAUAGGGAUAGUUGGGGGCAUUAGUAUUCAAUUGUCAGAGGUGAAAUUCUUGGAUUUAUUGAAGACUAACUACUGCGAAAGCAUUUGCCAAGGAUGUUUUCAUUAAUCAAAGAACGAAAGUUAGGGGAUCGAAGACGAUCAGAUACCGUCGUAGUCUUAACCCAUAAACUAUGCCGACUAGGGAUCGGAUGAUGUUAAUUUUUU